GUUACCUGAGGGAAAGAAGGAGGAUUUCGGAGUCUUUUGCUCUUUUUGACAGUUGCUAAAGCUUUGUUCAAUUCAGAGAGAAUGAGUGAUUGGCAACAACUUAAUCUGCUUAAAAUAAUUCUGACAAUCACUUUCGCUAGUGGCUUUUAACACAGUGUGUGAUUUUCAUACCCUAUGGUAGCCAAAAGUGAUCACCUGAUAAUAUUAUUCUCUAUUGCAUGUAUGAUAACUUGCCAGGCUUGAAAGAUACAUACAAGAAGAAAGUCACGAUCUGGCUGUUAUGAUCCAGUCAAAGCAUGCGGGCUUUGUUGCUGUUCUGCAGGAGACCCCCAAGGGCUGCCAGGUUGUCAACAUGAGAGCAGAGGAAAUCCGGCUUCUUUUAUGGAAGUUCCAUCUUGCAGAGAGACACAGGACUGGGGUUGGGACCAAGCACAGUCCUACAUGGCAGUUAGAGAAGAAAGCAGAGCUGCCUGGUGUUGGGUGCACAUGUGGCUGUAAUCCUGCUGAUGUCUGAGAGGCAGAAAGCCAACGUGUGAAUUCACAUACUGAGAGAAGAGACUUCUAUGUAACUGAAAAGGUGUACACUGUGCUCAGUUGUAUGGCUGAGAAAAGGGUCUUUUCAAUGAAGACAGGUGAGGGUCACCAGAACUAACAAAGGGAACAUCUCAACUUUUUGCAGCAAGCUAAUUUCCUGGAAGCCUAGUAAAACAACCCAUCUGAUUGCACAGCAUGGUAACAAGAAGCUGGAUGGAUGCACAACCUCACCAGGAACAGACAUUAUUUCCACAGGGGACAUCUGACAGUGCUGCUUAAUAAUGCAGUACUCCUGUAAUAAAAGGCAGGCACAGUACUCAUAAAUGGCCAUUCCCCACCCAUCAUCCUUAAAGAAUAUGUUUUAAAACAAAAAUAAAAACUGAAGAACUACAUCUGUACUCAGUCAUCAUCAGAGGCAGUGCUCAGGUCCUCUGCUGUUUAAAGGGUAUUUCAUCUGUCAGUGGAAGAAG